rnacentral:sRNA from 1 species
GCUGCGCACUUCGGUCUUUUACGUCGGCCUUCGCGAGCGUCUGGGCGGGUGGUAGGUGAGUGGGUAUUGCGGGCUAGUAUCCGAGCAAAAGAUGGUGGCGCAGGCCGAGUUAAGAGCUUUAAUCCUGUGAAGACAUCUUAGUGAAGAGUUUAGAGUGCUGAGAGUUGAAAGCUUGCACGUGGGAAACGUGCGGCCGGACUGCCACAUGUACUGAGGUUGAGUCGUGACGGCCACAGGCUCCGAAUUUUGGCGUGAGGAACCGCUGAUCGGCCACGGGCGCCGAACUUGCUGGCCUCCGGCAUGUGCCUGAGCGGCGGCGGAAAAACCACCUUAAUUGGGGCGGAGGGUUAGUUUUAAGAGCAAAGGGCCUUUACUAAAAUGGCGAAGGCCUUCCGUCGGCGUUGUUUUAAAAUGGGAAGCCUCGACCCUGUAUUGAAACUGAGCUGUUCGAAGGCGGCGUUGUGUGCAAUUCGGAUUAAUGAAGGGGAAGGGUUUUGUGUGGAAAAACGCCUUGGAGUGUGACAUUUCUGCGAGAAUGCUUAAAUACCGAUUUCCCGCAGGAACAAUGGCGCUGUCUUAAGUGGCACAGUGGAGCAGCUCUGAAGAUGCAAAGAUACACGAAAAAACUUCCAGAACAUCUGGGAGAAUAUUUAAUGGAAAAUCGCUUGGUUAAAACCUGACACUUUUAACAGUGAGGGUCGCUGUCUGCCCAUUGAUAGAGGCCAGAUUGUCUUGGAAGUUCCAAAGUUGCAACGAUUUCUGGCUAGUGCCACGAGGUUUACUUGACUGUUGUGUGAAAAGCUGAUAAGAAAACCAUCCAGAAAAAAGCUCUUCGUUUUACAAACAUGAAAAUAAAACAUUUAGUUGAAUCCAUGGACAUGAAACCCACAGAUAUAGAGGGUUGGCCCGGUGCAGUGGCUCACGCCUGUAAUCCCAGCACUUUGGGAGGCCAAGGCGGGUGGAUCACCUGAGGUCAGAAGCUUGAGACCAGCCUGGCCAACAUGGGUACUGCUUUCUCUUGCUGCAGCUUGCUUCCUCCCUCAGGUAACAUGAAGGAGGAUAUUGAAUGUUCCUAACACAAAGAAAUGAUAAAUGUUUGAGAUGGUGGAUGUACUAAUUGCCCUGAUCUGAUGACUAUACAUUAUAUAUAUUGAAACAUCAGUAUGUACCCCAUGAAUAUGUACAAUUAUAUGUCAACUUAAACACAUUUAAAAGUAAAAAAAAAAAAAUCCAAAA